GUCAAACUCCCACAUAAAAAACACUUAAUGUAGGUAAUUUGGAGCUCCAAUCAACCUCUACAUAGAGUUGCAAUAAGUUGUCUCCGAAUUGCUACUCAGAGAGAGCACCAACUUCCAGUACUCAUGAGAAAAUCACAAAAUUAAUAUAGAUUCUCGUGAAAGGAUGAACUUUUAAGGAGGAAACAAUUAAGAUAAUCCACAAACAACAUGAAAUGCCGUGUCUUCUUCUUCUGCAUAUAUUUUCUUCUAUUUGCAGUCUAAUUCAAAGAAAACGCAUUUUCUCAAUAAUUAAAAAGCCGGAGAGUCACGUCCUCACAUUGUAAUGUGCGCAGCCCGUCAUUUCAAGGAUUGAGAAAAUAUCAGGCCAUGGUCUUGAAUAGAAAUAUCUUAAUGCAGAAACUACAAAUUCAACAUAGCUUCUUAACCGAUCACAUAUUUCUGCUGGUCAUAUACUUGAAACCUGCCAACCCAUUCACUAAGUUACAUGCGCUCUUUAAAAUCAACGAGCGCAAAAGUGCAUUUCUUAAGAAGCCUAACGGGUUCAAAUUCCUCGUGUUUCUGCCCUCUGGUUCACCAGGCAAGGGAAGGCUGAACAUAAAAAUUCCCUAGACACUGCUUCUGCCACGUAACAAACUAUUCUGAAACCUCUUUUUAGUGAAACCCAAACUGACACAGAAACUGCUACUGUAUACUGAAAUCUAAGCUUAAGUAACACGCCAAUUCCCUGAAUGUAUUGAAUAUUUAGGCAUACGUAUGGAGCAGCAGGAAACAUUGCAUUGGUUUUUUUACCGAACUAUCAGCUCCAAGUAGCAGCAAUUUAAAUAAUAAUUUUUCAAGAGCAGCUUCAGUAUCCAGUCCUCUUCAAAUAAUUUUCACUUAAGUAUGAAACAGAAUGUGCAGGAAAGAUAACUUUGCAUGUUUAGCACUCUUAAUGAAGUACACAAGGCAGAUAUCUACUAGGCAUUCUCCACUAACAGUCCAUCAAGAGCAUCUGUCCCUCUAUCCAGAUUACCUACGACCUUGUCUAAGAAGAGUUCCCAAGAAUCACUAUCAAUUCUUCCACUUGCCAUGGCCAUCGAAACAACCUUUUCUAUUUCUUCUUCCAUCCCCUUUGCACAUAACUCCUCAAUCAACAAAGCAUAAGUGGAUUUAUUAGGCACGCAUCCUUUAUCCAACAUCUCCUCAAGAAUCCUAAUAACCUCCUUAGCAUUUCCAACCUUAGAAAUCCCCUUAAUCAGCAUAUUAUAUGUAAAAGCAUUAGGCUUGCAACCCUUUUCCACCAUAUCAUCCCAUAACCUUCCCGCCUCACUCAACUCUCCUCUCUCACACAUCCCCGCGAUAAGCGUAUUAUAUGUCAAAAGACUUGGGAUCGAACCCCGCUCAAACUCACCAAACAGUUUCCUUGCUUCCCAUACCUUCCCCUCCUUACAAAGCCAAUGUAUGAGUGUGCUCGUUAUUGCAUUAUCUGGCGUGCAGUUCUUCUCUAACAUCCUCUUCCACAAUUCACAAGCCUCGUCUACCUUCUUCCCGUCUUCACACAACACAUCAAUAACCUUGCAACAAAGAGCAGAGCUCGGUAUAUACUUUCUCUCGAGCAUAUCAUCAAGCAUGUUACGUGCUUCACCUGCUUUCUUCUCUUUGCAAAAUGCCUCGAUCAUAACCCCAUAAGUAACAUCAUUUGGCUCCACACCAUUCUCAUCCAUAUUAUCCAUGAUUUUAAUAGCAUCGACUAAUCUUCCUUGUUUACAAUACCCGUCCAUCAAGAUCGUAUAUGUUAUUGCGUCUGGCAACCACCCUCUAUCGAAAAGGUCACCAAAAACCCUCUUAGCAUUAACCAUAUCACCACGCGAAGCGUAACCACCUAAAAUUGUUGUAUAAGUGACGACAUUUGGGAUCAUACCCAUGGCGGGCAUUUCGUCUAAAACCUUAGUUGCACCUUCCAUGUCAUUCUUCUUACAAAGUGCCUUAAUCAAAAUGUUACAAGUGAAAACAUUAGGCACAACUCCAUACUUGCUCCGGCAAUUCUUGAACACAGCGUGCACUAAAUCAUACCGUUUGUUUUGCACGAAAGCAUUCAAUAGUGUAUUUAGCGAUCUCACUGAACGCUGUACUUUAAAAUCUUGGAUGCGGAUAAAAGUUUUGAGGGCCAAGUCGGGCUUGCCGGAAAGGCCGUAGUUGCGGAUAACAGUGAUGAACAUAUUUUCUCCACAUUUGAUUUUGGCUUUGUGCAAGUCAAAAAGCAAGUCUUCCACGGGGCCAAAGGCGCGAGCUCGAGAGAGCUUAUGAAUAAUGGAAUCAUAGGUGUCGUAAUUGUGGGAGAAACCGGGGUGAUAUUUGCCAGCGUAGUCGAAGAUUUGGAGGGCAAGAUCCAGAUUUUGUUGGCGGGUGAUCAUCGAGACGAGGCGUUUAGGGUAGAGGCGUUGGGGCCAGGGCUUGAUUGGAGGUGUGACUGUGUACGAUUCAGGAAGACGGGUGGUGGGAUUGGCGGUGGAAAGGGAACGUGUAGUGGUCAUUGGAUGGAGGAGGACGGCGGUUGUUAUUUUUUGACGGUGGUGAGACGCAGAGGAACGGAGCAUUGUUGAGAAGAGACGCCUCGUGUUAGCAGAGGAUGAAACAUAAAGUUUUGAAACGCGAUGGAGCAGACGCCGCGUAGGCUAAAAGGGGUAUCUUUAAAUUUUAAUAUUUGGAUGGUCCAAAAUCAACCCCAGAAUUCAGAAAUUUUGCAAUUUUUCAGCACCUGCUCUACAUACACGUGUUGGUUACCAAACAGAAAAUUUCUAUUUGUAUGUUUAUAACUGAUGAUUCGUGUUCUUUUUGAGUUUAGUUUCGUAAUUCAAACAGCAAAAUGUAA
rnacentral:misc_RNA from 1 species